rnacentral:rRNA from 1 species
GACGAACGCUGGCGGCGUGCUUAACACAUGCAAGUCGAACGCUGAAGCCCUUUCGGGGGUGGAUGAGUGGCGAACGGGUGAGUAACACGUGGGUAAUCUGCCCUGUACUUCGGGAUAAGCCUUGGAAACGGGGUCUAAUACCGGAUAGGACCUGUCCUCGCAUGGGGGUGGGUGGAAAGUUCCGGCGGUAUGGGAUGAGCCCGCGGCCUAUCAGCUGGUUGGGGGGGUAGUGGCCUACCAAGGCGACGACGGGUAGCCGGCCUGAGAGGGUGGCCGGUCACACUGGUACUGAGACACGGCCCAGGCUGCCACGGGAGGCAGCAGUGGGGAAUCUUGCGCAAUGGGCGAAAGCCGGACGCAGCAACGCCGCGUGGGGGAUGACGGCCUUCGGGUUGUAAACCUCUUUCGACAUCGACGAAGGGGCCCUGUUGUGGGGUUUUGACGGUAGGUGUAGAAGAAGCACCGGCUAACUACGUGCCAGCCGCCGCCGUAA